UUGAAUCCAAAUUCCAAACUAUUGGGAGAUUGAUGAGAUCGACCGACACCAAAUCAAGAUCAAUGAAGAUUACGAUUCCGUUUCGGUCAUCUCAUCAAUCUCCCAAUACGAACCUAAACCGAAAUUUUC
rnacentral:pre_miRNA from 1 species